rnacentral:rRNA from 1 species
ACCCAAUAGAUACCCUGGUAGUCCACGCCGUAAACGAUGGUGACUAGGUGUGGCUGGCUCAAAGGGCUGGUCGUGCCGAAAGCUAACGCGAUAAGUCACCCGCCUGGGGAGUACGGCCGCAAGGCUAAAACUCAAAGGAAUUGACGGGGGUCCCGCACAAGCAGCGGAGCGUGUGGUUUAAUUCGAUGCAACGCGAAGAACCUUACCUGGGCUUGACAUGACGGUGGUAGGGAGGUGAAAGCCGAACGACCCGCAAGGGAGCCGUCACAGGUGCUGCAUGGCUGUCGUCAGCUCGUGUCGUGAGAUGUUGGGUUAAAGUCCCGCAACGAGCGCAACCCUUGUCGCAUGUUUCAGGUGUCAUGCGAGACUGCCC